AUGUUCCACUUAUGGUUCGUGUGUGUUUCAACCUCCAGUGGUGAGACUGUGCUGACCGAGCUGCCAGCCUUCCUGCCUGGGACUCCAGGGCAGAGAGUCACCAUCAGAUGCCGGGCCGGCUGGGGCAUUAGCAGCUUCCUGCCCUGGUACCAGCAGAAACCAGACCAGGCUCCAAAGCGCCUUGUAAAGUAUGCUUCCCAGACCGUCUUGGGGGUCCCUGUGAGGUUCAGUGGCAGUGGGUCUGGGACAGAUUUUACCCUCACCAUCAAUGGUCUGGAGCCUGAAGACUUUGCAACUUACUACUGUCAACAAAGUGCUGAUGGCUGGUGUUGA